rnacentral:rRNA from 1 species
CCUACGGGAGACAGCAGUGAGGAAUAUUGGUCAAUGGGCGGAAGCCUGAACCAGCCAAGUAGCGUGCAGGAUGACGGCCCUACGGGUUGUAAACUGCUUUUAUACGGGAAUAACGCGCCUUACGUGUAGGGCUUUGCAUGUACCGUAUGAGUAAGGACCGGAUAAUUCCGUGCCAGCAGCGGCGGUAAUACGGAAGGUCCGGGCGUUAUCCGGAUUUGUUGGGUUUAAAGGGAGCGUAGGCCGUAUGUCAAGGGUGCUGUGAAAUCCCCGGGCUCAACCCGGGCCUUGCAGCGCGAACUGGCAGGCUUGAGUCCGCGGAAAGCAGGCAGAAUUCGUCGUGGAGCGGUGAAAUGCUUAGAUAUGACGAAGAACCCCGAUUGCGAAGGCAGCUUGCUGGAGCGGAACUGACGCUGAUGCUCGAAAGCGCGGGUAUCGAACAGGAUUAGAUACCCGGGUAGUC